UGGUUCUCGCAUCGAUGAAGAACGCAGCGAAACGCGAUAGGUAAUGUGAAUUGCAGAAUCUAGUGAAUCAUCGAAUCUUUGAACGCACAUUGCGCCUCUUGGUAUUCCGAGAGGCAUGUCUGUUUGAGCGUCAGUGACACCCCUCAAGCUUCGGUUUGUUGUUGGGCGUUGGUCCUGACCGGCCCGCCUGAAUGUCGCUUGGGGUCCCUCGUACCAUCGGAUGGGAAGUGAUAAGAUAUUCUGUCAUUCUUCUACGUGCCGGCUGUGACGCGAUGGGUCCUCUCACAAAGCAAACCGGAGGGAAACCUCCAGAGCUUUUUGACCUCAGAUCAGACAAGGAUACCCGCUGA
rnacentral:misc_RNA from 1 species